rnacentral:tRNA from 1 species
GGCGGGAUGGCGCAGCGGUAGCGCAGUGGAAUCAUAAUCCAUUGGUCGGGGGUUCGAAUCCCUCUCCCGCUA